GACGAACGCUGGCGGCGUGCUUAACACAUGCAAGUCGAACGGGCCCGCCCCUGUUUUUGGGGGUGGGUUGAGUGGCGAACGGGUGAGUAUCACGUGAGUAACCUGCCCCCUGCUCCUGGAUAACUGCUUGAAAGGGCGGCUAAUACGGGGUGUGCCGACUGGUCCGCAUGGGCCUGGUCGGGAUAGUUUCAUCUUCGGGGGUUUCGGUGGGGGAUGGGCUCGCGGCCUAUCAGCUUGUUGGUGGGGUGAUGGCCGACCAAGGCGGUGACGGGUAGCCGGCCUGAGAGGGUGCGCGGCCACACUGGGACUGAGACACGGACCAGACUCCUGCGGGAGGCAGCAGUGGGGGGUAUUGCACAAUGGGCGGAAGCCUGAUGCAGCGACGUCGCGUGAGGGAUGGAGGCCUUCGGGUUGUGAACCUCUUUCUCCGGUGGUGAAGGCCCUGUCCGUUGCGGCGGGGUUGACGGUAGCCGGGUAUGAAGCGCCGGCUAACUACGUG
rnacentral:rRNA from 1 species